UAAGCUUACAUCAAUACUUGGCAGGUCAUUUAUGCAGUUUUAAUGCUUCAGAAUAUAAACUAGACAAAGUGACUAAUAUCAAAUUGGAGCUGCUUUGCAUCUGCAAUUGACAAAUCCUAUUUUGAAAACAUGCAUGAACAUGAGGAUCAAACUUAGCUUUUAACAUUUACAUUUCUUUCCAAUGGGGAAGUGUCUGAUCCACUUCUAAUUUACCUGUUGUUGAUUUCCUGAUUCUUUCCUAAUCCCUUGCAGCUGAGAUGUCCUCACCAUGGAGAAGCAAUUAACAAAGUCCCUGACUGGAGUGUAUGAAGCAUUUGUUAUGGAAGCAUAAAAGGUUAACCUAAAUCCCAGCACACAGAGAUGUCAGACUAGAACAAAUCAGCACGGAGAAUUACCUGGAGGCACCACAAGGUUAAGGGUAUACCUGCCUUUUAGAAAUGGGCUAUAGGGAGAAAUCAGAACUAAUGCAAAACUGUGUGACCAGUGCUUAUGUCCUCCAGAGGAAGUGUUUGAACACAGACUUUUUCUUUCUGCUGUCAGUAAAACUUCCCUUGUCCUUUUGCACCUUCCAGCAGA